rnacentral:rRNA from 1 species
CUACGGGUUGCUGCAGUGGGGAAUAUUGGACAAUGGGGGAAACCCUGAUCCAGCAAUGCCGCGUGUGUGAAGAAGGCCUGCGGGUUGUAAAGCACUUUCGGUUGGGAGGACUGCUUCUAGCACUAAUAUUGUUGGAAGUUGACGUUACCUUCAGAAGAAGCACCGGCUAGCUCCGUGCCAGCAGCCGCGGUAAUACGGAGGGUGCAAGCGUUAAUCGGAAUUACUGGGCGUAAAGCGCGCGUAGGCGGCUAGAUCAGUCGGGUGUGAAAGCCCCGGGCUUAACCUGGGAACUGCAUCCGAUACUGUCUAGCUUGAGUACAUGAGAGGAGAGUGGAAUUCCACAUGUAGCGGUGAAAUGCGUAGAUAUGUGGAGGAACACCAAUGGCGAAGGCAGCUCUCUGGCCUGAUACUGACGCUGAGGUGUGAAAGCGUGGGGAGCAAACAGGAUUAGAUACCCCAGUAGUC